UGUAUAUUUUUAGCCAUUUUUCUUCCCGUAUUGUCUCCCUGUGGCAAUUGCCUAUUAAUGCUGGUCUGCACCAAGAUUGGACUAAAUGGUGCCUUCUCAGGAGUGAUGAAAACCCCGGAGAUCAAGUGUCAGAGAAACGUGACUCGAGACACAUCAUUAGUCCUGCAGCGCCCCCUGCUGAUAAGAAUCAUGAAAGUGAUGCAAUUCUUAUAGCAGCCUCAGUCCCUCAUCCCAAGAACCUCAUAUCCUACCUACCACAUGAGGCAACCAAAGGGAAAAGACCAGCUCCCACUCUGGCUCGGCGGCUUGGGCUUG